rnacentral:rRNA from 1 species
UAUCCACCUGGGGAGUACGUUGGCAACAAUGAAACUCAAAGGAAUUGACGGGGGCCCGCACAAGCGGAGGAACAUGUGGUUUAAUUCGAUGAUACGCGAGGAACCUUACCUGGACUUAAAUGUAGAGUGACAGCUUUAGAGAUAGAGUUUUCUUCGGACACUUUGCAAGGUGCUGCAUGGUUGUCGUCAGCUCGUGCCGUGAGGUGUCGGGUUAAGUCCAUAACGAGCGCAACCCACGUUGUUAGUUACCAGCACAUAAUGGUGGGCACUCUAACAAGACUGCCGGUGUAAACCGCGAGGAAGGUGUGGAUGACGUCAAAUCAGCACGGCCCUUACGUCCAGGGCUACACACGUGUUACAAUGGCCGGUACAGAGGGCAGCUACAUAGUGAUAUGAUGCGAAUCUCAAAAACCGGUCUCAGUCCGGAUCGAAGUCUGCAACCCGACUUCGUGAAGCUGGAUUCGCUAGUAAUCGCGCAUCAGCCAUGGCGCGGUGAAUACGUUCCCGGGCCUUGUACACACCGCCCGUCAAACCAUGGAAGCCGGGGGUACCUGAAGUCUGUGACC